CUUAACCCAAGCACAGCCAGCAAGGCAUGGACUAGUCACAAGUGUCUAAUUGCAGGGUAGACAUAAUAAGCUAUUACGUCUUAUCAAUGGUUCCCUUGAAGAUAACUAGAAGACUGAAAUUAGGAUAAAUAUCACAUACUGGUGACAAAUUUGGACCCAGACCCCAAAAGGCUAUUCAGAACAAAAGGCGUUCAGACUACAUCUUCCUCUUCCCCAGCUCAACUGAAAAACUAGAAGAACCAAGCUUGGCCUCACAUCCAUGAAACCAACAAAAGCAGGAUCUUCUUACCAUCAUUUUUCCCCUUUUGUUUGUGGUGCAUUUUCCUUCUUUCAUUCCAUGACAUGAGUGUUGACUGCUGACUAGAUCCAAAUUAAUGGUCUCCCCAGGAUAUUAUAUUUCAGUUUUUUUAAAGGGCCACAGAAACAGCAGGAAAUGACUGACCUGACUACAGAGGAUAAAUAAAACAUGAUGUCAAAUAUACAAGACCUCAAGAAGGGCUCUGUGGAAACUCGAAAGCUUGUCUCUUUCAUCAACAAAAGUUGGAAUAACAAAAGAUAUUCCCUCACCUUCUUUCUCUCUCUAAUAUCCUGAAACAGAUGCAACUACAACACUGCAUGAAACUUAUCAAUUUAAACUGGCGUUACAACAAGGGUAGGCCUGAAAUUGAGAUUCUGCUCCUCUCUCUGAUUUAUGGGGAGAUGGGGGUUUGCCUUUUUGCUUUGUAAGAUGAUAGUACAUAUUUCUCUUUCAAUGUGUUAUAGGCACAGAGGCUGCCAGAUACAUAGCAGUGCAGCGGGGCUUUCAAUCUGCUAAGUAGAACUACAAUGAGAAGUGUUGUGGUGUCAAAUAUUUGUCUUGACAAGUUUGCUGCUGACGUAACCUUAAAUCCUGAUGCGUUAGCAUUACCAACUAAGAAAACACCAGUAUUUUCUCCAAAUCUGUUUUGUAGCCCUCUAUGUUUGACAGUUCCAUGAAUGGAAAGAGAUAUUCAAAUUGGUCUCAUUCUGUUGGCUGUCAGAUUUAAUAGCUUUCUGUAAAAUUCCAUUAUCAAUGAAGAUGUUUCAGUUUAUCAUGUCCCUUCCCUCUCACUCUGGCAACAAUUCAGGUGACAAAGGAAACAAAGAGUUCUAGGAUCCUGUCUUUUCCCAGCUACAGACAGAGCUUUUUCAGCUUGAUGUAGAACAAUAGCAGGAAAUGGUAGAAUGAUGGCAAUUUUUUUUCCUAGAAGGGGCUUUGGAACUUAGAGGGGGCACGCCUAUCAGCACUCUACUUACACAACCAUGAAUUGGAGGAAAUUGGCCACAUCAAAUGGGUUUAAACUGACUGACAUGAUAGAGAACUAGAUUGUCACUUCCUGAAAGGGAUGGAUACAUACACUCCCCGGAUGCACCUUCUUUUGACAUUUCCCGUGCCUUUCCUUAUUAUUCAUCCACUCCUAGGAGUCAAUGGAAGAGGUUGCAACCUGCACUUUUAAAAGGCUACAUAAAGAAGUUACAGUCUGCACAGCAGUGGAUAUAGCUUUGUCAUUGAAAUUUCAUAGGCAAGGGACGACAGGGCUGGGAAAGGCAAAGGAUAGUACAAGUCUGCGGAACUCAGUAACAGAACCUUCAGCUUACAAAACAGACUCUGUAGGGGUUAAUGCAACUUGUUGGCUUGAUGAACUAGACAUGGUUAUUUACAUUUCACCCUGUGCCUCGCUAACAGUUAUCUGUUCCAUUAUAAACCAUUACUUUAUAUUCAGGAUU